CAACUUAUAUCAAACUUACAGAUACUUCAUUUGCCAUCGACCUUGGUUUCAAAAUAACCAAUGUAACCCAGGAGUCUCUAAGUAAUAGACUCACACUCACCAAUGAGACCGAAACCCAGAUACAGGAUUCAAUUAACAGACUACUCCAAAAGGUUCUCAGUGAACCAGAUGGCAAACAGUUUAAAUUUCCCAAUGCCAAC